rnacentral:rRNA from 1 species
UAGGUAAUCUACCUUUGGAUGGGGAAUAACAAUCGGAAACGGUUGCUAAUACCGCAUAAUGCAGCGGCACCUAAUGGUGACAGUUGUUAAAGCGGGGAUCGAAAGACCUCGCGUCUAAAGAGGAGCCUGCGGCGGAUUAGCUUGUUGGUAGGGUAACGGCCUACCAAGGCGACGAUCCGUAGCCGGCCUGAGAGGGCGGUCGGCCACACUGACACUGACAUACGGGUCAG